rnacentral:lncRNA from 1 species
ACGCGUUAUCGACACUGCAGCUGGUGAUGAUGAUGGAUCCUCUCCUGAUUCUGUGGCCCUCCUGCAUGGAUGAAUCCUGGAGAACUGUAAAUGAGGACAGGCAUAUGCCAUUUUCAUUGUAGCUGUUUGAAACACAUGCUCAACCUUCAUUGCUGACACCUUGGUGAACUGAUGACUGAUCAUUUCUGAAGAAAUUCAUGGAGGUUUGGAACUUACAUAAGGUGUGUCUGCCAUAAUGUGGGCAGGAAGUGUGCAUCCUGGCUGUGGCUGUAGCUGAUUGUGCUGAUAAUGCACUCAUGAUGAUUUCUGCUGAACACGCUGAUGUGCUUGUCAGAAGGGUCGUCCAUGUUUCUCAGCUUCGGUGGAGGAACAAACACAGCCAGCUCGCUCUCCGUACAAACACAACUAAUUUUAAUCUUGACAAGAGUCUUGGUUUUUAUUCUGCUACACUUUCACUCACUCCCACCCUAACCUCCUCUUUAUCAUUUAAAAUUGAUGCCAACUCCCCAAUGGCCUUUCUUAUGGAAGCAAAGAGACUUUGAAGUUUGGAGGACUCCUCUGAAAAGCCCUCAGGCGUCUCCUUCACAAGGCUACUGCUACCAUACACCACUAGAUCUCAUUUUUUUCUUUUUCUUUUGGCCACUCUGGAUCAUGAGAGAAUUCUCUGCUACUGCAGCACAAUGAAUAGCAAACAAAAGUUGAGAAAGGGCAUGUCAACAAUUUUAGACGAUGGAGGAUUGCGGGAAGAAGUAAUAAAAGCACAUGCAUUUCAUAUACAAUAAAACCCUGGCUUCAAAGCAAAACUUUUAAAUAUUUAAAAGCAUAUGUUUCUGUCUGAAUGUAAACAGAUAUGCUAAAUAUUUUAGUCGAAUGACGCAUUUUGGUUUUCCCUUUUGAGAAGUUUAAUGCAGUUUUCUUGUUAACAGUAAAUAUGCAUUUUGUC